UGGUUGUUGGCAGUGUGGUUAGCUGGUUGUGUGGCCUCUAUUGGUACAACCACUAUCCCUAUUGCCCCAAACCA
rfam:Stegodyphus mimosarum contig117673, whole genome shotgun sequence.